CAAAGAGGCGGUCCGGGGGCACCCGAGGUGGGCACAACCCACCAAGGCGCGCCAGGGCCUCCUGAGGCGCCCUGGUGGGUUGUCCCCUCCUAGGGACACCCCCCAAGUGCAACUAGGGCCCAUCUGCUUCCUUUUGGCCCAAAAAAUCAUCGUGAAGUUUCGUGGCAUUUGGACUCCGUUUGAUAUUGAUUUCCUGCGAUUUAAAAAACAUGGAAAAAAAAUAGCGACUGGCACUUGGCACAAUGUCAAUAGGUUAGUACCAAAAAAUUAUAUAAAAUGACUAUAAAAUGAUUAUAAAACAUCCAAGAUUGAUAAUAAAACAGCAUGGAACAAUCCAAAAUUAUAGAUACGUUGGAGACGUAUCAGCAUCCCCAAGCUUAACUCCUACUCGUCCUCGAGUAGGUAAGUGAUAAAAACAGAAUUUUUGAUGUGGAGUGUUGUUCAUCAUGUCAUAUCAUAUUAUUUUCUUUAUAGCAUGGACAUUUGGACUUUUAUGUGAUUCAAAGCAAUAGUCUAGUUUUGACAUAAUAAUUUAGAUACUCAAGCAUAUCAACAAGCAACCAUGUCUAUCAAAAUAUCAAUGCUAAAACAAGUUAUCACUAGCCCAUCAUGCUCAAACAUUGAUCCAUUCAUGAAACACACUCGAAUAUUAACUACACCCAAUACUUGAGUACGAUCAUAUUGCCUCCUAGUUGGUGCUUUUUAUGAGAAAACAUGGAGACUCAAAUUUCAAAAUAAAAAUUGCAUAAAGUAAAAGAAAGGCCCUUCACAGAGGGAAGUAGGGAUUUGUAGAGGUGCCAGAGCUCAAAACAAAAAAUUAGAGAUAAAAACAUUUUGGGAGGUGUAUCCAUCCCACCAACGAAAACGACUUAGAGUUCCCAAGACUUUCCAUGCUAGAUAUGCCAUAGGCGGUUCCCAGACAGAAAAUAAAGUUUAUUCCCUUUUCCACCAUUCUUUCACUUUCCAUGGCUAGUCGUAUCCACGGGUGCCCUCCAUACCAACACUUUCCAAGGAAUUUAUUAUUUGACAACAUAAAGUAAAUUCAAAUUUUUUUGCAUUUCGGGACUGGGCAUCCCUAAAACCUUUGCCUUACUCUCGUGCAAUGACAAGUGAAUAAACACUCAUCUUGAGAAUAACACAUCUAGCAUGGAAAAUAUUAGCCACCCGUAACCGUUCCACGAGCAAAAUAAACACACAAAAGAGAAGUUUAUUUUGAAAAUUAGAGAUGGCACAUGCAAAUUUGCUUAGAACGGCAAAAGAGUACCGCAUAUAGGUAGAUAUAGUGGACUCAUGUGGCAAAACUGGUUUAAAGGAUUUUGGAUGCACAAGUAGAGGUCAUACUUAGUGCAAAAUGAAGGCUAGCAAAAGAUUGGGAAGCGACCAACCAAGAAACGAAUAAUCUCAUAAGCAAGCAUUAAGCAUAAUUAACACCGAGUAAUGCACCACAAGUAGGAUAUAAUUUUCAUUGCAUGAUUAUUGACUUUCGCGGAUGCAUAGGGAAUCACAAACCUUAACACCAAUAUUCCUACUAGAGCACAGUCACUCAUCAACAUAACUCACAUAUCACAUCAUCAUAUCUCAAAACUAUUACUAAGAAUCAAGUUUAUCUUGUCCAAUAAUCUUCAUGACAUUUUCUUUUGCUUUAUCCUUCUUGGAUAUCCAUCACUUUGGGACUAAUUUUCAUGUGUUUCUUUUCACAAACUCAAACAAAUAUAAGUGAAGAUCAUGAGCAUAACAAAUUUUCUUUCUCUCAAAAUAAUUUAAGUGAGGCAAGAGAGAAUUUCUUCAAAAUUUUACUAACUCUCAAAUAAAUCUAAGUGAAUCAAGAGAGCAUUUCUUCAAAAAUAACAAAGCACACCAUGCUCAAAAAGAUAUAAGUGAAGCACUAGAGCAAGUCCUAGCUCAUAAAAGAUUUAAGUGAAGCAUAGAGAGCAAUUCUAACAAGUCAUGAUAUAAUUUGGGCUCUCUCAAAUAGGUGUGUCCAGCAAGGAUUGAUGACUUAAAACACACACAAAACAAGCAAAGGCACAUAUCAUACAAGACGCUCCAAGCAAAACACAUAUCAUGUGACGGAUAAAAAUAUAGCCUUGAGUAAAAUACCGAUAGUUGUUGGAAGAAAGCGCACUCGGGGGCAUCCCCAAGCUUAGUUGGUUGCCCAUUAUUGGAUAAUAGCUUGGGAUGCCGGGGCAUCCCCAAGCUUAGGCUCUUACAUCCUUCCUUCAUCCAUCAUAAGAUAACCCAAAACUUGAAAACUUCAAUCACACAAAACUCAACAAAACCUUCGUGAGAUCCGUUAGUGUAAGAAAAAAACACUACUAUAAGUGAUGUAUCAAACAAAUUCUUAUUUUGUUUUUGUAUUAUAUAUACUAUAUUCCAACGUUUCUAUGGCGAAAACUCAUCAAAGAAAACCAUAGAGCCAUCAAAAUAAGCACACAACACAAAGAAAACAGGAUCUGUCAAAACAGAACAGUCUGCAGCAAUCUGAUUUGUUCAAAUACUUCUGGAACUCCAAACAUUCUAAAAAACUAGGACAACCUGUAUAAUUUUUAUAUUAAUCUUCUGCAAAAUGAAUUAACAUUUUAUCACGUUCUGGUGAAUUUUAACAAUUAUUUUCGUGAGCACAAAGUUUCUGUCUUUUUCAGCAAGAUCAAACAACUAUCACCCAAGAAGAUCCUAUUGGUUCUACUUGGCACAAACACUAAUUAAAACAUAAAAAACACAAUCAUAACAGUAGCAUAAUUGUGUAAACACUCAAGAACAGAAAGCAAAAAGCAAAAAUAAAUUUUAUUCAUUGGGUUGCCUCCCAACAAGCGCUAUAGUUUUACGCCCUUAGCUAGGCAUAAAGCAAGGAUCUAAGUUUUGUCAUCUUUGGUUCGAGAUCCAUAAGAUGCCCUCAUGAUUGAUUCAUAAGGUGGCUUAAUUCUAGUUCUAGGAAAGUGUUCCAUGCCUUUUCUCAAAGGAAAUUGGAACUUAAUAUUGCCUUCUUUCAUAUCAAUCACGGCACCGAUAGUGCGUAAAAACGGUCUACCAAGAAUAAUAGGACAAGACGGAUUGCAAUCAAUAUCAAGAACAAUAAAAUCUAUGGGUAUGUAAUUCGUAUUUGCAAGAAUAAGAACAUCAUUAAUUCUUCCCAUAGGCUUUUUAAUAGUAGAAUCCGCCAAGUGCAAAUUCAAGGAACAUUCUUCAAGAUUAGUAAGACUAAGCACAUCACAUAAAGAUUUCGGAAUUGUAGAAACACUAGCACCCAAGUCACACAAAGCAAAACACUCAUAAUUUUUAAUCUUAACUUUGAUAGUAGGUACCCAUUCAUCAUGCAAUUUUCUAGGAAUUGAAACUUCGAAUUCCAAUUUUUCUUCAAAAGGUUUCAUCAUAGCAUCAACAAUAUGUUUAGUAAAAGCUUUGUUUUGUUCAUAAGCAUGGGGUGUAUUUAGCAUGGAUUGCAAAAAAGAAAUACAAUCAAUCAAAGAGCAACUAUCAUAAUUAAACUCUUUGUAAUCCAAAUGAGUGGGCGCAUCACUUGUUAAAGUUUUGACCUCUCCAAAUCCACUUUCAUCAAUUUUCUCAACAAGAUUUUCACCCUCCGAAAUAUUGGGAUGCCUUCUACCUAAAGUUGACUCUUCUCCAGUCCCUUUUUCAUCACUCUUAACUUUACUACACAAGGAAUCAAUAGAAGAAACACCAAUAAUUUUAAGAUCUUCAUCAUUUUUGCAAGAAUAGUCACUGGUACGCGUCGGUCCUAAACAAAUGGUUUUUAACCCCUUUCCGCGACGGCAUUCGGAACCGUCGCCAAGUGAGUGUGUGUAACAUCCCAAAUUUUCAAUUUGGAAUGUUAUACAUAGAUCAUCCAUGCAUAUCAUAUUUUAUUGCAUUUUGUUUCGCGAUCCUCGAAAUCCUAAGCAGCUCAAGGACCAUCAGAGAGAGUUGGGGAUUUCAUUUGUUUUCAUAUUUGAACUUUAUCAAAUAUUGAAACGAGGAUUUUGGUUUUAAUUGUUUUUCUCUCCGAAAAUAUUUCAUAUUAAAAUAUAUGAGAGGAGAUAAUAUGACUUCUCCAAAAUAAUUGAAAUAUUGGAGGAAAAAUAUUAAAAUCAAAUAUUUGUUUUUAUUCGGAUUUUAUUGCUAUUUUAUUUGCAUUAGAAAAAUUGCAGGUUUUUCAAAAUUUUAUUUCAGGCCAAGAAAAUGUUCAUCUCGUUCUAAAUAUUUUAUUUAGACGGUGAAAAUUUGUUUUGGCAUUUUUAGAUUUUUAUUUUAUUUUCUAGGAUUUAUUUAAGUUCCCGUGAAAUUAUUUAAAGAAAAACUCUCCAACGCCGACUGGGCCAAAGCCCAGCCGAGCCGGCCCGCUAGCCCCGCGCCGCCGUCUCCUCCCAGGAGACCGGGAGGCCGCCGCCGCCGCGACGCCGAGUCCGGCCAGGACUCCCGCGCCACCUUGCCCCCUCCCCAAGCAAGCACCCCCUCCUUUAAAUACGCCACCCCGGACCCCCCACCACCACCAACCCCGCCGCCUGCCUCGCCCCGCCCCGCAGCGCCGCACGCCGCCGCCUAGCCGCGCCGUGCCGCCGCCNNNNNNNNNNNNNNNNNNNNNNNNNNNNNNNNNNNNNNNNNNNNNNNNNNNNNNNNNNNNNNNNNNNNNNNNNNNNNNNNNNNNNNNNNNNNNNNNNNNNNNNNNNNNNNNNNNNNNNNNNNNNNNNNNNNNNNNNNNNNNNNNNNNNNNNNNNNNNNNNNNNNNNNNNNNNNNNNNNNNNNNNNNNNNNNNNNNNNNNNNNNNNNNNNNNNNNNNNNNNNNNNNNNNNNNNNNNNNNNNNNNNNNNNNNNNNNNNNNNNNNNNNNNNNNNNNNNNNNNNNNNNNNNNNNNNNNNNNNNNNNNNNNNNNNNNNNNNNNNNNNNNNNNNNNNNNNNNNNNNNNNNNNNNNNNNNNNNNNNNNNNNNNNNNNNNNNNNNNNNNNNNNNNNNNNNNNNNNNNNNNNNNNNNNNNNNNNNNNNNNNNNNNNNNNNNNNNNNNNNNNNNNNNNNNNNNNNNNNNNNNNNNNNNNNNNGUGCCGCCGCCCUUUGCCGCACGCCGUUGCCGCCUGCCGCCGCCCCGCGCCGCCCGCCGGAGCAACAGCUCCACCUCGCCGGACCUCGCCGGAGGUAAAGCCGCCGUUGCCGCCGCUGUUUUUUUUUUUUGAGAAAACUAAUUCGGUUUUUGUUUAGAAAAACCCUAGUUCAUUUUUUUAGAUCGGUUCGCCGGUUUUCUCGGUUUAGUUUAUAUAGCGGACGUUCGUCCGUACGUUCGAUUAAUGAACGGUUUUCGCUCGUUAGUUACAGACAACGAACGUUCGUUCGUUAGCCUAUUCGUCAGUUUUUUUCUCAGAUUUUCCGCUAUUAUUUUCGAUCACGAUUUCUGAUCCGAUUUUCGUUUCAGUUUAUCUUUUCGCUCGUUUAUCGGAAUCAGGCGAUUCAAGCGCCUAGAUCUUCGUCUCAAAACCCUCUUUCUGUUUAAUCAACUUGAACAAGAUUUUGGUACUGUAAAAUUUGACUUUAGUUCAGAUUAAUAAACGGAUCUUGUUUCUUUCGCAGUUUGAGUUUCGUUGCUCCGUUUGAUUUGAUUCUUUUUGCAAACCAGAGUUCUUAAGUUGAACUUUCUGGUUUGUUUUUCUUAUUUGAGUUUUACCCGUGCUUCUUUGCUUGAUUGCUUAUGUAUGUUGUUGUUUGUUUGCGAUAGAAUUCCCGAAGUGCGAAGCGUGCUACUACGAGUCUCUAGGUUUUGCGGAUCGUCAGUAAGGCAAGUAACACAUUGAUCAUACUCCUUUCAUACCCAAUUUUUAUGCAUUAGUUCCAAUCCUCAAACAUUGCAUGAUUAGGAUGUGAUUAACAUGUGAGUUGGGAAGUAGUUUAUGAGGUAGAACCUAUUGCCCUGUUAUAUUCAAACCCUUGGGAGUUACUUCUACGUAUUGCUUAUAUUGCUAUGCUAUGCUCGUAGACGUGGAUUGGGUGAGUGAAAUCCAUGACAGAUGUGAGAUGAUUAAUUAAUGGUUCAACUUAAGGUGGCAACUUUAAUACACAUCUGGGUGGAUUGCUUGUCGGGCACCUGCAGAAUCCAGUGUUGUCCUAGGAUAUCCCAGAGUACCCGUGUGAUCAUCCUAAGGUCCGCCACCCAGGCUCAAAGGGAACUGAGAUAUUUUCAUGCUAGAAACUUCCGUGUGCAGCCACAAGCUAUUAUGGGCUCUAGCAUAGUUGAGUAAGUUGCAUGAGCUCUUGAAGAGGUGGAUCAGCAGGUAGAGGGAUGUAGGUUUGGUAUGGUCUGCCCGGAGUAAAGAGUUAAUGUUUUUGAAAGACUGUGUCUCGGUCAUCCAUUUCUCAAACACCAUGUAGUGCGAGAAAUCCAAUGGAGGCGAUCGAGUCUUGUGGGGAAAAGUGCGCAAAACUUUGCAGAGUGUACAAUCUAAUCAUGGUUAGCCGUGUCCCCGGUUAUGGAAAAAUCUUAAGUAUCUAGUACUUGGAGUAUCCUAAGUAUCUCAUCACUCUUAACUAAUAUUGUUGGGUUGAUAAUUACUUUAAUUGGGAUUGAGUUGGAGGAACCUUCUCAAUGAUGUUUCAACUACCAUGAUAGUUAAAUAAAACUUAUUCCUUUGUUGUAGGGAAAAAUUGUCUUUUCGCAAAAACUAUAACCAUAGAGCUUUCCACCAGCCAAAUAUGCAUGUAGUGAUAGCAUUAUUCUGUUCUUGCUCUAUUGUGUUAUAUUGCCAGCAUAUUCCAUGUGCUGACCAAUUUUCGGGCUGCGACGUAUUAUGUUGCAGACUUUUCAGACGAGGAGUAAGGUUCGUUAGGUCGUUGCGGUGCAACUCAGCUAUGCCGUUGGAGUUGAUGGACUCACUUUAUCUUCUAAGCCUUCCGCUGUUAUCGUAUUAGAUGGCCUUAAGCCAUAUUUACUGUAAUAAGUCCUCUUUUGAGACAUUCGAUGUAAUAAGUGUGUGAUUACUACUCUGUUAUAAAUCCUUCGAGUACUCUGUGUGUCAGCAUUACCGAUCCAGGGAUGACACUGAAGCACAGAGACUUGACCGUUUGAGGUCGGGUCGCUACAGUGUGGGCGAUAGGGGGGUCCUUCCCACAGGACCCAGAAACCGUUGGGGAUAUGCCCUCCUAGCACACACACUCGGCAAAAUGAGGUCGUGUGCGACCGGCAAGCCCUCAAAUACAGAAAUACGUAUAGUAGUGCUAAAAAAUACAAUUAUACAGGCGAAAUCAUUUCCGGUCGUAAGUACAUCACACACAGUCAGUCACCACUAAACGUUUCCGUUCGUAUAUACAUCCCACACAGUCACUACAAGGAAAACGUUUGCGCAAUGUGGCAUAACGCAAACAGUUUUGAAGGGAAUGCCGUGUGUGAUUGUUCAUUGAUCCAACACGGUUUAUUCGUAGAAACUGUGUGCGUUGCCUGAGGUCAUCGCCCACGGUGUUUUCUCAUUAACCGUUUGCAAUAGGAAAACCCAAUUAGCAAGCUAAUUGGCCAAUUAGCGGGCUAAUUUCCCUAUUAUUAAUAAUCCAUUUACUAAUCUAAUUGACAUUCAUAUUAACACAUAAUAUAUUCCAUUUCCAUAUUAAGGAAGCAGGAUUUCAUAAUUGAAAUACAUCGGAGUACAACAUGAUAUAGCUUCAGCACUCAGCUACCCCAUUACACAACUGCACCAAGCAGCAAGUUUCACAUGCAACAUCUAGAACCUUUCGAAAUUAGCAUCAUAGAUGGUACAUAGAGAGAUGCAUCUCAUCUGGAAAACUGCUGAAGCGGAAGGCGAAUAUUGAGCCUUCAUUCAUGUUGAAGGUCUUUGCAACUUUAGGCCAGUGCUUGUGGAUGAUUGACCGUCCAUCCUUCGACCUCUUCAGGAACACUUCAAUAUUGAACCGUGGGUGUUGUAUGAAAACUUUCCUCACCUCCUGACCACAGAGGUGGUUUGAGAGGUAAUCAUCAGUGAACCCUAACAACAAGGAUGUGCAUAAAUAUACUCUCUAUAUUGGAAACGGGGCAAAGGAAUAAAAAAGGCAAGGUAUAAUAGUUAGUACCAUCUUGUAAACCUCAGUGCUUCCCAUUGUUUCCCUGCAACACAUAUAAGGUAGUUAGUCAUCAGGUUAAGUAAGAGUUCGCAUGCUAUCAGUAAAAUAUGUUGAUGAAAAAUAAGCACAUUGCAGAUUCAUCAGAUUAAUUCAAGCCACAUGGAAAACCCAUUUAUCCAAACCAAGCAUGAUUAAGAACCAGGAAAUAUAGCACUUGUAUAUGUUUCUCAUGUAUUAAAUGCAGCCAAAAUCGUUUAUUCCUCACAUGGUAUACAAUAACAGAAUGCAGCCACAACAAUUGAACAUCACAUUGUAGAAUUGAACCAAGCAGUUAACUAAACACCACAACAAAUGAACCAAAUGUUAACUGAGCACCACAUUACACAAUAUAACAUACUCCUAAUAGAAGAUCAGACAGUUAACCAAACCAAGCAUGCUUAACAACUUGGAAAUAUAGCAAUUGUAUUUGUUUCUCAUGUAUUUAGUACAGCCAAAUUCGAUUUAUUCCUCACAUGGUAUACAAUAACAGAAUGUAGCCACAGCAAUUGAACAUCACAUUGCAGAAUUGAACCAAGCAGUUAACUAAACACCACAACAAAUGAACCAAACGUUAACUGAGCACCACAUUGCACAAUAUAACAUACUCCUAAUAGAAGAUCAGACAGUUAACCAAACCAAGCAUGCUUAACAACUUGGAAAUAUAGCAGUUGUAUUUGUUUCUCAUGUAUUUAGUACAACCAAAUUCGAUUUAUUCCUCACAUGGUAUACAAUAACAGAAUGCAGCCACAACAAUUGAACAUAGCAUUGCAGAAUUGAACCAAGCAGUUAACUAAACACCACAACAAGUGAACCAAGCCACAACAAAUGAACCAAGCAGUUAACUAAACACCAAUUGAACAAUAUAACAUACUCCUAAUAGAAGAUCAGACAGUUAACCAAACCAAGCAUGCUUAACAACUUGGAAAUAUUGCACCCUGAAGAAUUGAACAUCACAUUUGCAGAAUUGAACCAAGCAGUUAAUUGAACACCACAUUGCACGACAUAUAGAACAUAUAGACUAUAGCAGAAGAUUGCAUGGUAAAAGUAGAUAGCACAAUUCACUAGAAUUUGUUAAGGAAAGGCAGUAGCUAGCAUACUGAACAUGGGUCCUUAUAGUGAGCUAAUAAGACAAACUACUCCUCAUUGUCGGAGAUAUCUAUGAUGAUUGGCUCCUUGGACAUGGAAGAGGAUGAGGCCUCCGCAUCAUGGGUGCCAUCGUUGUAGUGGUGAGUUUCCUGAGCCGCUCCGAGCACCAACCUGCUGGCUCUCGGGAUGAGGUAAGCACAUGCACGCUGAGAAAACACCUCGUAGUCUUCGUCGAAGGCACCGAUGGUGGCCUCGAGAAAACACCACGAACUGUUGUUUAAAGCAGCCAACCGCAUCGCGGCGUCGGCACGCGAGGCGUCAACGGUGGCCUCGACGGCGAGGUGCUCCUCCAAGAACUGCGGGUCGGCACGAAUGGCAGCCAUCGCGACCUCCUCCGCGCGUGCGGCCGCGAUUUGCUUCUCUGCUGCCAAAUGCUCCUUGAGGUCCUAGCUAUACUGCAUGCACCAUGGCUUAGGCCGGUGCUUAUUUGGUUGAUGGGUCGGUGAUUUGGGUGGAAGGUGUACGGAAAAACAGAUCCGGCAAGAAACAGAUCCGGCAAGAAAACAGCAAACGGAAAAACAGAGGCGAAUAAAGCGGCAAAUUUUUGUGAAGUGGGGGAGAGGAAAACGAGAGGCAAAUGGCGAAUAAUGUAAAUUGCAAGGAGAUGAGAUUUUUGAUUAGGAACCUGGAUAUGUUGAAGAUCCCCCCCGGCAAUGGCGCCAGAAAUUCUCCCUGAUGGUAGCUGGAACUACGUUGGUAUUUCCCCGGAGAGGGAGGGAUGAUGUAGCACAGCGAUGGUAGGUAUUUCCCUCAGUUAUGAAACCAAGGUAUUGAACCAGUAGGAGAACCAAGCAACACAACGUAAACAACACCUGCACACAAACAAAAACACCUCGCAACCCGACAAGUUAAAGGGGUUGUCAAUCCCUUCCGGGGUACGGCGCCUCAAGAUAGGCAAGCGGACAUGAGGUAAAUUGUAGUAGAUUGAUAGAUCGAAUGCCAAAUAAAAUAAAUAAAGAUAAAACGCACCAAGGUAUUUUUGUAUUUUUUGGUUUAAUAGAUCUGAAAAAAAUGUAAAGGAAAAGUAGAUCGCAAGGAAAAUAUAUGAGAAAGAAGACCCGGGGGCCGUAGGUUUCACUAGUGGCUUCUCUCGAGAAAAAUAGAAAAUGGUGGGUAAACAAAUUACUGUUGGGCAAUUGAUAGAACUUCAAAUAAUUAUGACGAUAUCCAGGCAAUGAUCAUUACAUAGGCAUCACGUCCAAGAUUAUUAGACAGACUCCUGCCUGCAUCUACUACUAUUACUCCACACAUCGACCGCUAUCCAUCAUGCAUCUAGUGUAUUAAGUUCAUGGAAGAACGGAGUAAUGCAAUAAGAACGAUGACAUGAUGUAGACAAGAUCCGUUUAUCUAUAUGGCGGUAGAUAUAGAUCUCGUCUUUUUAUCCUUAGUAGCAAUGAUACAUACGUGUCAUUUCCCUUUCUGUCACUGGGAUCGAGCACCGUAAGAUCGAACCCAAUACCGGGCACCUCUUCCCAUUGCAAGAUCAAUAGACCAAGUUGGCCAAACAAAACCCAAAUAUCGGAGAAGAAAUACGAGGCUAUAAGAGAUCAAAGAAACUCAAAUAACUUUCAUGGAUAUAAAAAGAUAUGACUGAUCAUAAACUCGAAGUUCAUUAGAUCCCAACCAAACACACCGCAAAAGAGUUACAUCAUAUGGAUCUCCAAGAGACCAGUGUAUCAAGAAUUCAGCGAGAGAGAGAAAGAGAAAGCCAUCUAGCUACUAACUACGGACCCGAAGGUCUACAAGGAACUACUCACGCAUCAUCGGAGAGGCAACAAUGGAAGUGGUGAACCCCUCCGUGAUGGUGUCUAGAUUGGAUCUGGUGGUUCUGGACUCUGCGGCGGCUGGAUGAAUAUUUCGUCGACGCUUCUAGGGUUCUGGUAUUUUUGGGGUAUUUAUAGAGCAAAGAGGCGCUCCGGGGGGCACCCGAGGUGGGCACAACCCACCAGGGCGCGCCAGGGCCUCCUGGCGUGCCCUGGUGGGUUGUCCCCUCCUCGAGACUCCCCCCAGGUGCAACUAGGGCCCAUCUGCUUCCGUUUGGCCCAUAAAAAAUCAUCGUGAAGUUUCGUGGCAUUUGGACUCCGUUUGAUAUUGAUUUCCUGCGAUGUAAAAAACAUGGAAAAAAACA
rnacentral:lncRNA from 1 species